rnacentral:rRNA from 1 species
GGAUAACCUGCCCUUUAGGACUGGCAUAACCCCGGGAAACUGGGGAUAAUUCCGGAUAGUUCAUGGUAGCUGGAAUGCUCCAUGAUCGAAAGCUAUUGCGCCUAAGGAUGGGUCUGCGGUCUAUCAGGUAGUAGUGGGUGUAAUGUACCUACUAGCCGACGACGGAUACGGGUUGUGGGAGCAAGAGCCCGGAGAUGGAUUCUGAGACAUGAAUCCAGGCCCUACGGGGCGCAGCAGGCGCGAAAACUUUACAAUGCGGGAAACCGCGAUAAGGGGACACCGAGUGCCAGCAUCUUAUGUUGGCUGUCCGCAUGUAUAAAUCACAUGUGUUAGCAAGGGCCGGGCAAGACCGGUGCCAGCCGCCGCGGUAACACCGGCGGCCCGAGUGGUGGCCACUAUUAUUGGGUCUAAAGGGUCCGUAGCCGGUUUGGUCAGUCUUCCGGGAAAUCUGACGGCUUAACCGUUAGGCUUUCGGGGGAUACUACCAGGCUUGGGACCGGGAGAGGUAAGAGGUACUACGGGGGUAGGAGUGAAAUCUUGUAAUCCUCGUGGGACCACCAGUGGCGAAGGCGUCUUACCAGAACGGGUCCGACGGUGAGGGACGAAAGCUGGGGGCACGAACCGGAUUAGAUACCCGGGUAGUCCCAGCCGUAAACUAUGCUCGCUAGGUGUCAGGGACGGUGCGACCGUUUCUGGUGCCGCAGGGAAGCCGUGAAGCGAGCCACCUGGGAAGUACGGUCGCAAGGCUGAAACU